AUUGUAUUCCCUCUGUCCAGAAAUACUUGUUGGAGUAAUGGAUGUAUGUAGACGUAUUUUAGUUCUAGAUACAUCCGUUUUCAUCCAUUUCUGCUACAAGUAAUUCCGGACAGAGGGAGUAUGUC
rfam:Triticum urartu cultivar G1812 contig1188629, whole genome shotgun sequence.